UACGGGAGGCAGCAGUGGGGAAUAUUGCACAAUGGGCGCAAGCCUGAUGCAGCGACGCCGCGUGAGGGAUGACGGCCUUCGGGUUGUAAACCUCUUUCAGCAGGGAAGAAGCGAAAGUGACGGUACCUGCAGAAGAAGCGCCGGCUAACUACGUGCCAGCAGCCGCGGUAAUACGUAGGGCGCAAGCGUUGUCCGGAAUUAUUGGGCGUAAAGAGCUCGUAGGCGGCUUGUCGCGUCGGAUGUGAAAGCCCGGGGCUUAACCCCGGGUCUGCAUUCGAUACGGGCAGGCUAGAGUUCGGUAGGGGAGAUCGGAAUUCCUGGUGUAGCGGUGAAAUGCGCAGAUAUCAGGAGGAACACCGGUGGCGAAGGCGGAUCUCUGGGCCGAUACUGACGCUGAGGAGCGAAAGCGUGGGGAGCGAACAGGAUUAGAUACCCUGGUAGUCCACGCCGUAAACGGUGGGCACUAGGUGUGGGCAACAUUCCACGUUGUCCGUGCCGCAGCUAACGCAUUAAGUGCCCCGCCUGGGGAGUAC
rnacentral:rRNA from 1 species